rnacentral:rRNA from 1 species
UUUAUGGAGAGUUUGAUCCUGGCUCAGGACGAACGCUGGCGGCGUGCCUAAUACAUGCAAGUCGAGCGGACUUGAAGAAGUGCUUGCACUUCUGAUAGUUAGCGGCGGACGGGUGAGUAACACG